GCUGCUGCAAAUGAUGAAGAGUGCCGGAAUAGAACCAACACUUGCUACAAUGCAUCUGCUGAUGGUUUCGUAUAGUUCUUCAGGAAAGCCCCAAGAAGCUGAAAAAGUUCUUAGUAACCUGAAAGAAACAGACGUGGAACUAACAACUCUGCCUUAUAGUUCAGUCAUUGAUGCUUACCUUCGGAGCAAAGAUUAUAACAGUGGAAUAGAAAGGCUAUUGGAAAUGAAGAGAGAGGGCCUGGAGCCAGACCACAGGAUAUGGACUUGCUUUAUUAGGGCGGCGAGUUUCUCCAAGGAAAAAAGUGAAUUCAUGCUGCUUCUGAAAGCUCUUCAAGAUAUUGGUUUUGAUCUUCCUAUCAGGUAUGCAUUCCGAGUUUCCGUACAUACCAUUUUGAGUUCAAUCUUGAAGUAUAUGAUGCAUUCCUUGAAUAGUAUAUCUCCUAACUGAACCUAGAAAUAAUAAUUAUCAUCGUAUGGUACUAAUUCUCAUUUAAUGAUUCCUACCAGGCUUCUAGUUGAAAGACCUGAGUUGCUAGUUUCUGAGGUGGAUGAAUGGUUUGAGAAACUGAAACCCAUAGAGGACAAUGCUGCUCUCAAUUUUGCCAAUGCCCUUUUGAAUCUUCUCUGGGCUUUCGAACUCCGAGCUACUGCAUCAUGGGUAUUCCAGAUAGCAAUCAAAAGGGGUAUCUUCAGUCGCGACGUUUUCAGGUCUGAUCCUGUUUUGCUUAUGUCUGUCUGUUUUGGAGAGCUAGGGCCUGUAUUAGUGAACACUUGUUUAGUGCAAACGCUUAGGUGUUUAGCAGUCACAUUAAUGAUUGGUUUUGAUUUACAGGGUGGCGGACAAGGAUUGGGGUGCUGAUUUUAGAAGAUUGUCAGCAGGUGCAGCGCUUGUUGCCCUAACUCUAUGGCUUGACCACAUGCAGGCAAUUCUUCUAUCUCUAAUAUCUGCAUCUUCGCUUCAUCUUUUGACGAUCAUUCUCAUAUUCACCAAUGAACCUCUGUUACAAUUCUUCUGCAAUUUCAGGAUGCAUCACUUGAAGGGUACCCAGAAUCUCCAAAGUCAGUAGUCUUAAUCACAGGAACCGCAGAGUACAACGGUAUCUCCCUGGACAAAACGUUAAAGGCAUGUCUUUGGGAGAUGGGCUCUCCAUUUCUUCCUUGCAAGACGAGAACAGGACUUCUAGUAGCGAAAGCUCACUCUCUCAGAAUGUGGUUGAAGGACUCACCCUUCUGCUUCGACUUGGAACUGAAAGACUCAGUUUCUUUACCGGAAACAAGCUCGAUGGAGCUGAUCGACGGGUGUUUUAUAAGACGCGGCCUUGUUCCUGCAUUUAACCACAUCAAAGAGAGACUUGGUGGGUUUGUAUCACCAAAGAAGUUUUCUAGACUAGCUCUGCUACCGGAUGAGAUGAGAGAACGAGUGAUUAAGACAGAUAUAGAAGGACAUAGACAGAAGCUAGAGAAGAUGAGAAAGAAGAAUAAAGGAAAUGAAAUUGUAAACGUUAACACUCGAAGGAAGUUCAUUAGAAGUAAGUAAUGAGAUUAUACUGGGUUAUACAUACACAACACGAGUGAUAUGUACAAAGUGUUUUCAUCUGUAUGUUUUAUUUAUUUACUACAAUGAUUAGUAAUUUAAAGAGUUACAUGACGUCGAACAGUUUAUUACCGUUAAAUAUGUUGUAACCUGUAAUUUUAGUUAGAAAAUGUGUUAUUUAUGCUCUCGAUUAGUCUUUGUAACAGUCAAAGUCAAGCAAUUUCUUCGAUGUUAAAUCACGAAACAAUUGUUUUUCUAUAAUUAGACGUAUCUAUUAUACAGACAAAAUUGUUCAAGAGCAACAAAGAAACUAGUUUGGUGCAUCUUGGUUCUCGACAGGAACUACUGCAGACACUUUCCUUCUAGGCGUAAGCUUCUUGACACCAACUUUGACUUGAGAGCAGUCGGUGGUCACUGUGCUGUUGUUGGAUGUUUCUGCAACACUUUUGCGUCUUCGGCUUUGUUUCUUCUCCUUUACAUUGUCUUGAUUCUCUUUAUACCAUUCCAAAGACCUAACCUCUCCUCCAUUGUCUAGAUUCUCGAUAUUUUCACAGACAGUCUCAUUUUCUUGUCUACAUACAUCUCCUGAGAAUCUCUCUGAUCCUUUUCUCCUUCUCUUUGGCCGCCUCUCUUUAGCAGCAGAAGAUACUUCACUCUCGCAUUCUGCAUCUGCUUUCUUCGGUCUGAAUCAACAAAAAAGGCAAAUUAAGAUUCAUAAAACCAGUGUGAGAGUAUUAGUACGUCUGAUGAAUAUUCAAAUAACUUACCUUGCUUUGCGUUUCCUCUUCACGGCUACAAUUUCGGGUUCUGGCUCAAGAGGUAUCUCAGGUAGUGCAAGAAACUUGCAUUCGAGAAGAGCAGGACGUUGUGAUUCCCGAUCAACAAAGUUACCUACAAUAGCUUCUUUGCGUAACCUUGUAGCUUCUUGUAAAAGAGGGACUUGGUGUGGAUAUAGCUGCAUCCACCUCCUCCGGCAUUGAUUAUCAGUACGACGAGGCACAUGUGAAGCGAUUUUGGACCAAUUACCAAUCUCAUGUUCUGCCAUUGCUUCUCUCAACUUUGCAUCUUCUUCCUUGCUCCACUUCCCAUGAUUUACAUUGGGAUCUAAACAAUUCGCCCAUUUCUCUCGACACUGAGUAGAGGUUCGUCCAGGAACAAAGCGAGCAAUUUUAUGCCAGUUUUGAGCUCCAAAGAGUGUCACAGCUACUUUCAAACGUUUUUCUUCGUCUGAGCUAAAUUUCCCUACCCUCGUUCUGGUAGGAUGGAGCGUCUUUUUCCAUCUGAAAGUAUAGAGAAAGAAGAGCAUAAGAUCAACCAUUCACCUAAGUAUCUGAAUUAAGACAGCAAAAUGCAGGACAAUAACCUCUGAACACAAUCUCAAUCCUACUUCAUGAUUAUCAUUAAUGACUGCAUAUUGACGUAAUCCCACAUCGACUAAACAUGGACCUGAUGUGUGGUUUAUAAACCCCAUAGACUAUUUUACCAAACAAAUUAGCUCUUGUGACAAUUUGAUUUUGGACUACACUAAAUUAAUAUCAAUAGACAAAACUGCCAGCAAACUGUUGAAUCUCUAAAUUUAUCUAAAUUCAUUAAGAAAUGGGUGAACGUAAAAGAUAGUAACUGACCUAUUAGAGCACUGAGUUCCAGCCCGUCCUUCUAAUGCAUUUGUUAGAUAUGGUGAGGAACUCGGGUCUUAGGCCUGAUGCUAUUACAUACAACACUCUACUUAGCGCGUGUUCUAGAGAUUCGAAUUUGGAAGGGGCUGUGAAGGUUUUCGAGGACAUGGAAGCGCAUCGUUGCCAGCCUGACUUGUGGACUUACAAUGCUAUGAUCUCUGUUUAUGGAAGAUGCGGGCUUGCUGCGAAAGCUGAGAGUCUCUUCGCGGAGCUGGAGCUUAAAGGCUACUUCCCUGAUGCAGUUACUUAUAAUUCUUUGCUCUAUGCUUUUGCUAGAGAGAGGAAUACGGAGAAGGUGAAGGAGGUUUACGAGGCGAUGCAGAAAAUGGGGUUUGGGAAAGACGAGAUGACUUACAACACGAUUAUUCACAUGUAUGGGAAGCAGGGGCAGCUUGAUCUCGCGCUGAAGCUUUAUAAGGACAUGAAAGGUUUGUCUGGUAGAAGCCCUGAUGCUAUUACUUACACGGUUUUGAUAGACUCGCUUGGUAAAGCAAACAGAACUGUGGAAGCUGCAGCGUUGAUGUCUGAGAUGCUUGAUGUCGGGAUCAAACCAACUCUGCAGACCUACAGUGCUCUCAUCUGCGGUUAUGCCAAGGCUGGGAAGCGAGAGGAGGCUGAAGAGACUUUCAGUUGCAUGUUGCGCUCAGGGACUAAGCCUGAUAAUUUGGCGUAUUCUGUAAUGUUGGAUGUGUUACUAAGAGGCAACGAGACAAGAAAGGCGUGGGCUUUAUAUCGUGAUAUGAUUUCUGAUGGUCAUAUGCCGACUCACAGUCUGUAUGAGCUGAUGAUACUUGGACUUAUGAAGGAAAACAGGGCAGAAGACAUUCAGAAAACCAUCAGAGAUAUGGAAGAACUGUGUGGCAUGAACCCACUAGAGAUUUCCUCUGUUCUUGUUAAGGGCGAAUGCUUUGAUCUUGCUGCUAGACAGUUGAAAGUAGCUAUCACUAAUGGCUACGAACUGCAAAACGACACUCUGUUAUCUAUCCUGGGUUCCUACAGUUCAUCAGGCAGGCAUUCGGAAGCAUGUGAGUUACUUGAGUUUUUGAAAGAACACGCCAGUGGAUCUAGGCUGCUUAUAAACGAAGCACUGAUUGUUCUACAUUGCAAGGUUAACAAUAUAAUUGCUGCGCUCGAAGAAUACUUUACUGGCGCAUGUGUUCAUGGAUGGAGUUUUGGCAGUUCCACCAUGUAUGAGUCCUUAUUACACUGCUGUGUAGCGAAUGAACAUUACGCAGAAGCUUCUCAAGUUUUCUCUGACCUGAGACUGUCUGGCUGCGAAGCUUCAGAAAGUGUUUGUAAAAGCAUGGUUGGUGUGUAUUGUAAGCUUGGAUUUCCAGAGACAGCUCAUCAAGUGGUUACUCAGGCUGAGACAAAAGGCUUCCACUUCGCUUGUUCGCCUACGUAUACUGAUAUCAUUGAGGCUUAUGGAAAACUAAAGCUAUGGCAAAAAGCAGAGAGUGUGGUUGGCAACUUGAGACAAAGUGGACGAACCCCUGAUCUCAAGACAUGGAACAGUUUGAUGACGGCUUAUGCUGAGUGUGGCUGUUACGAGCGGGCAAGGGCUAUAUUUAACACUAUGAUGAGGGAUGGUCCGUCUCCAAGUGUUGAAUCCAUCAACACUCUGUUGCAUGCUUUGUGUGUAGAUGGAAGGCUUGAGGAGCUAUACGUUGUUGUUGAAGAGUUGCAAGAUAUGGGUUUCAAGAUUAGUAAAAGCUCCAUUCUUUUGAUGCUUGACGCAUUUGCUCGAGUUGGAAAUAUCUUUGAGGUAAAGAAGAUAUAUAAUAGCAUGAAGGCUGCUGGUUACUUGCCAACAAUUCGCCUUUAUAGGAUGAUGAUUGAGCUUUUGUGCAAAGGGAAACGAGUCAGAGAUGCCGAAGUUAUGGUUUCUGAAAUGGAAGAAGCUGGCUUCAAGGUCGAGCUCGCGAUAUGGAAUUCCAUGCUGAAGAUGUAUACAGCUAUCGAGGAUUACAAGAAAACAGUUCAAGUGUACCAUAGGAUCAAAGAAACGGGGCUAGAACCAGAUGAGACCACUUACAAUACUCUCAUUAUAAUGUAUUGUAGAGACAGACGGCCAGAAGAAGGGUACUUGCUUAUGCAGCAAAUGAGAAAUAUUGGUCUUGAGCCAAAACUGGACACAUACAAGAGUUUGAUCUCAGCUUUUGGUAAGCAAAAAUGCCUUGAGCAAGCUGAACAGCUGUUUGAAGAGCUUCUCUCCAAAGGUUAUAAACUAGACCGUUCAUUUUACCACACGAUGAUGAAAAUAUCCCGAGAUUCUGGGAGCGACUCUAAGGCAGAGAGGCUGCUUCAAAUGAUGAAGAGUGCGGGAAUAGAACCAACGCUUGCUACGAUGCAUCUGCUAAUGGUUUCAUAUAGUUCUUCAGGAAAGCCCCAAGAAGCGGAAAAAGUUCUUAGUAACCUGAAAGAAACAGAAGUGGAACUAACAACGCUGCCAUAUAGUUCAGUCAUUGAUGCUUACCUUCGGAGCAAAGAUUAUAACAGUGGAAUAGAAAGGCUAUUGGAAAUGAAGAGAGAAGGCCUGGAGCCAGACCACAGGAUAUGGACUUGCUUUGUUAGGGCGGCGAGUUUCUCCAAGG
rnacentral:lncRNA from 1 species